rnacentral:lncRNA from 1 species
AUGGAUGGUUCCAUCAAACUCAAAUGGUUGCAGUCUUUCAUAAAUAACUCAAACAGUAUUUGGUUUUAUUUCCCUAAAAUAAUUUUCGAGAAGAUUGGUGGCAUUGAAUUUCUCUUAAAAUGUGAUUUUGAAAUUUCCAAAAUACCUAUUAAAUUAUCUAAUUUUCAUAAACAGGUUCUUCAGUACUGGAAAAUGAUUUACAAGCAUAAUUUUUCUCCACAUACAAAUUCAAUUUGGAACAACAGAUGUAUAUUGAUAAACCGAAAAUCCAUUUUUUAUAAGGAUUGGAUGGAUCAUGGAAUUUGGACAGUUUUACACUUGUUAGACAAUGAUGGCAAUGUAUUAUCGUACAAUAAAUUCAUAGAUAAUUAUGGCGUAUCAUGUACUCAAAGUAAAUUCAUUAAAGUUGUGAAAGCCAUUCCCCCUGCAAUGAUUCAGAUGGCUAAAGCCAGUUUAACCUAUUCUUCCUCUAUAAUUCGUGAACCAUCCUUAGUUAUUGAUGAUUGUCAAUUUAAUGGAAAGUCAUGCAAUAAUAAAUUCUUAAGGACGAUUCUAACCAAACAACUUUUUCCUUCUCAAUUAAAAAGAAAAUAUUUGUUUAAAGAUUAUAAUUUUAGGUUCUUGACUAAAUAUCUCUCUUUUCCAAUUCCACCAAAAGCAAAAGAAAAUCACUUUAAAAUUUUAAAUGCCAUUUACCCGUCCAAGGACUAUCUUCAUAAGAAAUUCAAUAUAGAUACGAACACAUGCACUUUUUGCAAAACUGAUAUUGAGACUACAGAGCACCUUUUUUAUUCAUGUGACAGUUCCAGAUCUUUUUGGAAUGAUUUUCAGUACUGGUUAACCUCUAAAAGUAUUGAUUGCCCUUCUCUAACCUUUCAAGUAAUAAGAUUUGGCCUACAAACAGAAAAUAAGAAAAUAGAAUUUGGGAUUAACAACUUAUUUAUAGUUGCAAAAUUUUUCAUUCAUAAAUGUCGCUUCUUAAAAAUUACUCCGAUUUUUGCUGGUUUUAAAAAUGAAGUCCUUCUAUUGAAGGCUUCAUUAGAUAAGUGUAAAUUAAAGAAGGCUCAGAUCUUACUUGAUUUUUUGAUGUUGCUUUUCAACUGA